UACAGAGGGUGCGAGCGUUAAUCGGAAUUACUGGGCGUAAAGGGCGCGUAGGCGGUUUUGUGUGUGGUAUGUGAAAGCCCCGGGCUUAACCUGGGAAGUGCAUACCAAACUGCAAGACUAGAGUAUAUGAGAGGGUAGUGGAAUUCCCGGUGUAGCGGUGAAAUGCGUAGAUAUCGGGAGGAACGCCAAUGGCGAAGGCAGCUACCUGGCAUAAUACUGACGCUGAGGCGCGAAAGCGUGGGGAGCAAACAGG
rnacentral:rRNA from 1 species